AGCGGCGGACGGGUGAGUAACGCGUGGGUAACCUGCCUCAUACAGGGGGAUAACAAUUGGAAACGGCUGCUAAUACCGCAUAAGCGCACAGUACCGCAUGGUACCGUGUGAAAAACUCCGGUGGUAUGAGAUGGACCCGCGUCUGAUUAGCUAGUUGGUGGGGUAACGGCCUACCAAGGCGACGAUCAGUAGCCGACCUGAGAGGGUGACCGGCCACAUUGGGACUGAGACACGGCCCAA
rnacentral:rRNA from 1 species